ACGUACAUUUCAUUGACCUGCUUUCUCUAUAUGUGAGCAGCGUUAUUUCUUAUGUGCUAUAUAUAUAGUUGAAGGUUAAUUAGCAGUAUAACUAUAAAUAGAAAUAAACAGACAAUAAACUUCAUAGAAAG
ensembl:snoRNA